UACGUAGGGUGCGAGCGUUAAUCGGAAUUACUGGGCGUAAAGCGUGCGCAGGCGGUUUUGUAAGUCAGAUGUGAAAUCCCCGGGCUCAACCUGGGAACUGCGUUUGAAACUACAAGGCUAGAGUGUAGCAGAGGGGGGUAGAAUUCACGUGUAGCAGUGAAAUGCGUAGAGAUGUGGAGGAAUACCAAUGGCGAAGGCAGCCCCCUGGGUUAACAC
rnacentral:rRNA from 1 species